AGUGAACGCUGGCGGUAGGCCUAACACAUGCAAGUCGAACGGUAGCACAGUAAGAGCUUGCUCUUACGGGUGGCGAGUGGCGGACGGGUGAGGAAUACAUCGGAAUCUACUUUUUCGUGGGGGAUAACGUAGGGAAACUUACGCUGAUACCGCAUACGACCUACGGGUGAAAGCAGGGGAUCUUCGGACCUUGCGCGAUUGAAUGAGCCGAUGUCGGAUUAGCUAGUUGGCGGGGUAAAGGCCCACCAAGGCGACGAUCCGUAGCUGGUCUGAGAGGAUGAUCAGCCACACUGGAACUGAGACACGGUCCAGACUCCUACGGGAGGCAGCAGUGGGGAAUAUUGGACAAUGGGCGCAAGCCUGAUCCAGCCAUACCGCGUGGGUGAAGAAGGCCUUCGGGUUGUAAAGCCCUUUUGUUGGGAAAGAAAAGCAGCAGGUUAAUACCCCGCUGUUCUGACGGUACCCAAAGAAUAAGCACCGGCUAACUUCGUG
rnacentral:rRNA from 1 species